rnacentral:rRNA from 1 species
AACGAACGCUGGCGGCAUGCCUAACACAUGCAAGUCGAACGAGACCUUCGGGUCUAGUGGCGCACGGGUGCGUAACGCGUGGGAACCUGCCCUUAGGUUCGGAAUCACUCCCCGAAAGGGGUGCUAAUACCGGAUAAUGUCUUCGGACCAAAGAUUUAUUGCCUUUGGAUGGGCCCGCGUUGGAUUAGCUAGUUGGUAGGGUAAAAGCGUACCAACGCGACGAUCCAUAGCUGGUCUGAUAGGAUGAUUAGCCACACUGGGACUGAGACACGGCCCAGACUCGUACGGGAGGCAGCAGUGGGGAAUAUUGGACAAUGGGCGAAAGCCUAAUCCAGCAAUGCCGCGUGAGUGAUGAAGGCCUUAGGGUUGUAAAGCUCUUUUACCCGGGAUGAUAAUGACAGUACCGGGAGAAUAAGCUCCGGCUAACUCCGUG